CCUUUGCGCCAAGCCUAUACAUGCAAGUCGAACGGUAAGGUUUCUUCGGAGACACACGAGUGGCGCACGGGUGCGUAACGCGUAUGCAACCUACCUUUAACUGGGAGAUAGCCCCGAGAAAUCGGGAAUAAUACCCCAUAAUAUUCAAAACACACCUGUUUUUUGAAUCAAAGUUCCGGCGGUUAAAGAUGGGCAUGCGUGGCAUUAGCUAGUUGGUAAGGUAACGGCUUACCAAGGCGAUGAUGCCUAGGGGUUCUGAGAGGAUAUACCCCCACACUGGUACUGAGACACGGACCAGACUCCUACGGGAGGCAGCAGUAAGGAAUAUUGGGCAAUGGACGCAAGUCUGACCCAGCCAUGCCGCGUGCAGGAUGACUGCCCUAUGGGUUGUAAACUGCUUUUAUACGGGAAAAAAAUAUCCGACGUGUCGGAAGCUGAUGGUACCGUAUGAAUAAGCAUCGGCUAACUCCGUGCCAGCAGCCGCGGUAAUACGGAGGAUGCAAGCGUUAUCCGGAUUUAUUGGGUUUAAAGGGUGCGCAGGCGGAAUGAUAAGUCAGUGGUGAAAGCUUCCGGCUCAACCGGAAAAUUGCCAUUGAUACUAUCGUUCUUGAGUACAGUUGAGGUAGGCGGAAUGUGUCAUGUAGCGGUGAAAUGCUUAGAUAUGACACAGAACACCGAUAGCGAAGGCAGCUUACCAAAUUGAAACUGACGCUCAUGCACGAAAGCGUGGGGAUCAAACAGGAUUAGAUACCCUGGUAGUCCACGCUGUAAACGAUGAUCACUCGCUGUUGGCAAUACACAGUCAGCGGCUAAGCGAAAGCAUUAAGUGAUCCACCUGGGGAGUACGGCGGCAACGUUGAAACUCAAAGGAAUUGACGG
rnacentral:rRNA from 1 species